UACAGGGGGUGCAAACGUUGCUCGGAAUCAUUGGGCGUAAAGCGCACGUAGGCGGUCUGUUAUGUCGGAUGUGAAAGCCCUUGGCUCAACUGAGGAAGUGCAUCCGAAACUGGCAGGCUAGAGUACUAAAGAGGAUCGCGGAAUUCCCGGUGUAGAGGUGAAAUUCGUAGAUAUCGGGAGGAACACCGGUGGCGAAGGCGGGUCUCUGGGCAGUAACUGACGCUGAGGAGCGAAAGCGUGGGGAGCGAACAGG
rnacentral:rRNA from 1 species